rnacentral:rRNA from 1 species
UACGAAGGGGGGCUAGCGUUGCUCGGAAUCACUGGGCGUAAAGGGUGCGUAGGCGGGUCUUUUAAGUCAGGGGUGAAAUCCUGGAGCUCAACUCCAGAACUGCCUUUGAUACUGAAGAUCUUGAGUUCGGGAGAGGUGAGUGGAACUGCGAGUGUAGAGGUGAAAUUCGUAGAUAUUCGCAAGAACACCAGUGGCGAAGGCAGCUUACUACCCGAAUAUUGACACUGAGGCACGAAAGCGUGGGGAUCAAACAGG